rnacentral:misc_RNA from 1 species
GGAUGAAGAACGCAGCGAAAUGCGAUAAGUAGUGUGAAUUGCAGACUUUAGUGAAUCAUCGAAUCUUUGAACGCACAUUGCGCCCCUUGGUAUUCCAUUGGGCAUGCCUGUUCGAGCGUCAUUUACAACCUCAAGCUCCGCUUGGUGUUGGGUGUCUGUCUGCGCUUCUUGCGAAGACUCGCCCUAAAUCUAUUGGCAGCGGCAUCGCCGGCUUCUCGCGCAGUACAAUGCGUUAUGGAAGGCUACCGGCGGGCUUGCGUCCAUCAAGUAACCCCCCAAGUUUGACCUCGAAUCAGGUAGGGAUACCCGCUGAACUUAAGCAUAUCAAUAAGCGGAGGA